CCUACGGGUCGCACCAGUGGGGAAUCUUGGACAAUGGGCGCAAGCCUGAUCCAGCCAUGCCGCGUGGAUGAUGAAGGCCCUAGGGUUGUAAAAUCCUUUCGUCAGGGACGAUAAUGACGGUACCUGAAGAAGAAGCCCCGGCUAACUUCGUGCCAGCAGCCGCGGUAAUACGAAGGGGGCUAGCGUUGUUCGGAUUUACUGGGCGUAAAGCGCGUGUAGGCGGGCUUGCAAGUUGGGGGUGAAAUCCCGAGGCUCAACCUCGGAACUGCCUCCAAAACUGCAAGCCUGGAGCAAGAUAGAGGCAAGUGGAAUUGCGAGUGUAGAGGUGAAAUUCGUAGAUAUUCGCAGGAACACCAGUGGCGAAGGCGACUUGCUGGAUCUUUGCUGACGCUGAGACGCGAAAGCGUGGGGAGCAAACAGGAUUAGAUACCCGCGUAGUC
rnacentral:rRNA from 1 species